rnacentral:rRNA from 1 species
UUUCCAUUUAUGGAUUCUUAGUGGCGAACGGGUGAGUAACGCGUAGACAACCUACCUUCUAGAUGGGGACAACACUGCGAAAGUGGUGCUAAUACCGAAUGUUGUAUUAAUGGUGCAUAUCAUAAAUACUAAAGGUGGCCUCUAUUUAUAAGCUACCACUAGAAGAUGGGUCUGCGUCUGAUUAGCUAGUUGGUGAGGUAAUGGCUCACCAAGGCGACGAUCAGUAGCCGGUCUGAGAGGAUGAACGGCCACACUGGGACUGAGACACGGCCCAGACUCCUACGGGAGGCAGCAGUGGGGAAUCUUCCGCAAUGGACGAAAGUCUGACGGAGCAACGCCGCGUGAGUGAAGAAGGUUUUCGGA